CCUCCAUGUUUGCUCGAGCCAUAUAAAUAUUUGGAAAGAGGGGAGAAGUACGAACGAUUUGGUUAUACAAUGGACUUCGACGAAUAUUUAAUAGAAUUAGUUCGUUCACACUCAGAGCUGUACAACAUGAGCGAUCGUAGAUACAGUGAUUCCAUUAGGAAAGAAUCACUGUGGAAGGAAAUUGGAUUAGAGAUGGGGCGUCCAGGCGGUGAAUCAAGGGACGAUGGGUGGCACUGAGAGACCAGUUUAGAAAAUUUGUUAAUAAAAAGACGAAGAGUGGCCAAGAUGCCAUACCUAAGAAGCCGUGGAAGUAUGAGGAGGUUAUGGCUUUCUUGCAUCCAUACAUGCAGGAGCAAGAAACAUAUACUAAUGUGACUGCUGACAUUUGUUCAGACGAGGAAGAAAACAUGGAUAUGUCUUCAUCGCCUACUCUGGGCAGUGAAAUUGACAGUGAUUUGAGCCAGAGACAAUUAAUGUGCAAAAGUGUAGUGCAAGAGUCAUAAGGAGGAGAAUUGCAGAAUAUGCGUCAGCUUCUCUGAUGAAUUAUAUUCUAACACAACCAAAACAAAAUCUUUGAGGGAUAAGUGUCAGUAUAAAAACAUUGUCCCCAAUGCAACAGAUAAAAGCUGAAGAUGAAAUUUCCUUACGACGACGGUUCAAUCCCAUGUCCGGCCAUCCUGAUUUAGGUUUUCCGUGAUUUCCCGAAAAUCGCUCCAGGCAAAUGCUGGGAUGGUUCCUUCGAAAGGGCAUGGCCGACUUCCUUCCCCAUCCUUAUUUAUCCCAAAAUCAAAUUUUGGAUAAUAUAUAGAUUAAUAAUACAACAAUUCAUUCGAUUAAACACUUGUGCACAUGUAUAAUAUAUAAUUAGAAAGUGGACAAUAAUAAGAUCUUUACUAAUAUGCAAUGUUUUAAACAUAAGUUUUGUUUUAUAUGAAAUCUAUCU